UAGGGAAUCUUCGGCAAUGGGGGCAACCCUGACCGAGCAACGCCGCGUGAGUGAAGAAGGUUUUCGGAUCGUAAAGCUCUGUUGUAAGUCAAGAACGGGUGUGAGAGUGGAAAGUUCACACUGUGACGGUAGCUUACCAGAAAGGGACGGCUAACUACGUGCCAGCAGCCGCGGUAAUACGUAGGUCCCGAGCGUUGUCCGGAUUUAUUGGGCGUAAAGCGAGCGCAGGCGGUUUGAUAAGUCUGAAGUUAAAGGCUGUGGCUCAACCAUAGUUCGCUUUGGAAACUGUCAAACUUGAGUGCAGAAGGGGAGAGUGGAAUUCCAUGUGUAGCGGUGAAAUGCGUAGAUAUAUGGAGGAACACCGGUGGCGAAAGCGGCUCUCUGGUCUGUAACUGAUGCUGAGGCUCGAAAGCGUGGGGAGCGAACAGGAUUAGAUACCCUGGUAGUCCACGCCGUAAACGAUGAGUGCUAGGUGUUGGAUCCUUUCCGG
rnacentral:rRNA from 1 species